UACGUAGGUCCCGAGCGUUGUCCGGAUUUAUUGGGCGUAAAGCGAGCGCAGGUGGUUUAUUAAGUCUGGUGUAAAAGGCAGUGGCUCAACCAUUGUAUGCAUUGGAAACUGGUAGACUUGAGUGCAGGAGAGGAGAGUGGAAUUCCAUGUGUAGCGGUGAAAUGCGUAGAUAUAUGAAGGAACACCGGUGGCGAAAGCGGCUCUCUGGCCUGUAACUGACACUGAGGCUCGAAAGCGCGGGGAGCAAACAGG
rnacentral:rRNA from 1 species